rnacentral:rRNA from 2 species
ACGGGAGGCAGCAGUGGGGGAUAUUGCACAAUGGGCGCAAGCCUGAUGCAGCGACGCCGCGUGUGGGAAGACGGUCUUCGGAUUGUAAACCACUGUCUUCGGGGACGAUAAUGACGGUACCCGAGGAGGAAGCUCCGGCUAACUACGUGCCAGCAGCCGCGGUAAUACGUAGGGAGCAAGCGUUGUCCGGAAUUACUGGGUGUAAAGGGAGCGUAGGCGGGAGGCCAAGUUGAAUGUUAAAUCUAUCGGCUCAACUGAUAGCUGCGUUCAAAACUGGUCUUCUUGAGUGAAGUAGAGGUUGGCGGAAUUCCUAGUGUAGCGGUGAAAUGCGUAGAUAUUAGGAGGAACACCAGUGGCGAAGGCGGCCAACUGGGCUUUUACUGACGCUGAGGCUCGAAAGCGUGGGGAGCAAACAGGAUUAGAUACCCUGGUA